rnacentral:rRNA from 1 species
UACAGAGGUCUCAAGCGUUGUUCGGAUUCAUUGGGCGUAAAGGGUGCGUAGGUGGCGCCGUAAGUCGGGUGUGAAAUUUCGGAGCUUAACUCCGAAACUGCAUUCGAUACUGCGGUGCUUGAGGACUGGAGAGGAGACUGGAAUUCAUGGUGUAGCAGUGAAAUGCGUAGAGAUCAUGAGGAAGACCAGUGGCGAAGGCGGGUCUCUGGACAGUUCCUGACACUGAUGCACGAAGGCCAGGGGAGCAAACGGG